rnacentral:piRNA from 1 species
UAAGUCGGUGACAAAGAUCUCUUUAUACAGU